rnacentral:lncRNA from 1 species
AGUGAUUCUCAACCAGCUAAAGUACUCGUGGCGUCUUUCUUUGAUUCCUCUUCGGAACAGUAUCGAAUAUUGUUCCCACCAGCUCGCUCCCCAUUGCCUUCUCGAAUUUGAUACCUUCGAUUUCAGCUCUUCGUCUAGCGUCAGAGGUGUCAGCAUUUUCCUCUUUUCCUUCUCUGCAACUCUCGUCUCGUAAGCCUCCACCAGAUACUGCUUUACAUUAUUGUAUAUUCAAAUCAAACCUUAGCUUUCUCUACUCUUUUUUGGAUUUUGCAUGGAAUUUUUAUUUCUCUUUGCAACUAUGUUACUCUGGUUUCACUGGUGAAUGUGUUCUUAUUGUCUAAGUGUACAAACUAUCCAACAACUACUCUUGAAAUGUCUUAAAUUGGUUAUCUACCACCUCAAAUCACCAAUUACUGGGUGUUGUCUUGUUCUAUUUCAGAAAAUAAGUGGGAUUGGUAAGUUGAGUUUCCAGGAAGGUUUAACAAAGUUAUGGGAAUGGGAUAGAAUCAAAUCAUGUUUCAGAUGAAGAGUUCAAAGAGAAAUUAUAGAAUAGUGGCGCUGUGCCUUGAAAACUGGAAAGUGGACCAGGGGUAAUAUUUGGAAGUGUUGACUAGUUUGGGAAGGUUAACUUGAUAUGCGUUCUAGAAAAUUAUGAUUUUAAGUAGUUGAUAUAUUUCAGACAAAUAUUUUAUGAGAUUUAGGUGAAAUUCAAUUCUACUAUAGAAAUUCUAGUUAACGGGACUCUAGUACAAUCAGGUUGUUGCAAAGUGGAUUGUAAUCAUAUUAAGAUCAAAGGUAAAGAGUUCAAGAUUUUAACUUGAUUUCCUGAAACAUACCUCUUGGACAAGAAUUGGAGAAGGUCUAUCCUGCCUACUGUCAGCCUCGGAAUUCUCCAUUUGCACCUUGUCCUCUAGCUCUGAUGGAACAGACACAUCACUCAGGUUGCCAUUUGCAAGGUCAAGCAAGAACUCUGCUGGGUUCAUUGCAAUAAGUGGAGAACAUCCUAUAGAUGCGAAAUAGUUCAUUGCUUCCGCUGCUUUGCCAUAAUAGAUCAAGCUUCCCUUCCCAAGAAGAAUUAGCUUGUCAAAUUUGUGAAAUAGUCUGCUUGAUGGCUGGUGAAUCGUUGUCACCACGGUCUUCCCAGCCUGCCAUGGAAGAACAGCUUUUAUCAUUAUAUGUUGGAACUAAUCCGGAAAACAGAAGAAGAAUGUUGCAUUGAAGAUAUUUAUAUACUUCAGCUAUCUCAUGUAAAAUCUGAACAAUUCUCAAUGCAGUUGUUGAAUCCAGGCCCGAAGUAGGUUCAUCAAGAAACAAUAGGGAGGGAUUGAUUAUUAUCUCAUUGCCUAUAGAGACCCUACGUCUUUCUCCACCUGAAACCCCACGGACGAAGGAGCCACCAAUCAUCGUAUCCUGGCACCUGCCGAGGCUAAAUUGAUGAGCAUCUAUUCCAGAAGAAUGUAACGUCUUAUGCUUUAGUUAGAAAGAGCUGAGAAGCUUACCUUUCAAGUCCCAGCUCGUAGAUGACAUCAAUUGCACGCUUUUCCUUUUGCUCUUUCGUCAAUGUAUUUGGCAAUCGAAGCAAUGCUGCAUAUCUCAAUGUUUCUUUCACUGUUAGGUGGGGAAAUAGAACAUCCUCCUGCAUCACGAAUCCUAUCCUGUAAUGGUAUUUUAUUUUGUCAGGAUCAAAACUAGUUUUUUAAUUACUCAUCUACAUCAGUAUUCUUUAAUUGGAUCAGUAUGUGAAGUAGACCAUGGACUUUGUCUAGAAAUCUUGCCUGCUUUUCAGGAACUUAUUGUAUGGUUGAUCAUUGUAAGUAACGGAACCACCAGCUGUAGACCGUAUGAUCCGCCCUCCAAGAAGAUUGAGUAACGUUGUCUUGCCACUUCCUGAAGGUCCCAUUAAGGCCAGAACUUCACCUGGGUUUACCAGACCAGUAAUCCCAUUUAGGAUCUCCUUCUCCACAUUUGUUCGCAAUCCUUUUAUGAUUACUUUAUAAGUAACAUCCUUGAACUGCAAAGUAUUUCAUCCAGACAACAGGAUGAACUUAGUUCAGUAAAAGUUACAGAAAAUUCUUAUUCACCAUAGCUUAGAGAAAAUAUUCAACUCGAGUUAGAUCAGAUGGUUAUAUUUUCCAAAAGAUAUGUAAGUAGGUUAGUAUAUUAACCCUUCUUUCCCUCUACAAAGUGAUGCGUUGAUUAGCUUCUUUGAGCCCUUAAACAACCUGAUUGUGGUUGUGCAUGGACUUAAAUGUUUUAAAAAAUCAGCUAGUCUAAAGUUCCUAAAGGACAGGUAUCCUUCACAAGUUUUUUAUUUGAUCUUUUUGGCUCUUAAUAUGUUCUCUCAGUUAGGUGGAAAGAUGGGAUGAGUCUUGUACAUGAAUUGUCAUAUAAAACGAAACUUUGUACAAGACUGAACCUGACCAUGCUAUAAUUUGCAUGCUAGCUUAGCCAUGUUCUAUGUGGUUUGUGCUUUUAUCUCUACAUCAAUCUCCCUGUCUUUUGCCUGUCCAAAUAGAUAGACAUAAAUUCAUUUGCUAUCAGCAAAACAACAUACAUUUCUGAACACUUUCAUUUUUUUUUUUGGUUGUUAAAGAUUUGUUGGACAUAUAUUCUGGGAGAAAUCACUUUAUGAUGAAAGUACACUUUAUUUACCUUGAGGUGAAUGGGCAUGGUUGGUUCUGUUUGAAAUCUGGUCUUGCAUGUUCCUGCUUCGACAUCCUCUGCUGUUAUAUUAUAAGCAUAUAGAUGUUAAACGGUUGAAUUGGGAAAUUUACCCCCAAGAUACUCUAUUCUUGAAACAUGGAACUACAAUUAUUAAUAUUUUUUACUAUGAGAAACCAACUUCUAUUUAGAAUGAUUAAAAUAAGAAAGAAAAAGCUAAACAGAAAAAUAAAUAUACUGAUAACUUGCAGAAUAAGAAAAUACAAAGAACACCCCAAUUCGCUUGAGGAAACUAGCAUGCACUCAGUGUCCUCAUUAACCUUUGGGUAACUAAUAAUGGACUAAAAGCAGUAGAAGGACCAUGAGAGGUAAAAAAAAACAGUAAUCUAAGUAAGAGUUAGAGAGUAAAAAAUGUCAAUUAGAUAUACAGGGAAGUAGUCAAAGGUAGGUAGGAAAUUUGAGCAUAUAAAUAUGAAAUUUAAGUCUUCAAGGACUUGACUUUUCCAUUAAAUAACACAAAAUGUUUCUAAAUUUGUGGGCCCUGGUCAUUCUGCUGAUUUGAUAAUGAGUACCAACUAAUAGUCUUUUCCUUUUCAAGUUUGGUGUAAAAUACCCAUCAAGAACACAUUAAUUCUCCUAAAUUAGGCCAAUCCCCCCCCCCCCCCAAAAAAAAAUAAAAAUAAAAAAUAAAAAGAAGAACAAGCCAAGACAAAAUGGCUGGUUGGCCAUUGAGUGUAGCAGCACAUGGUUCAAAAAUAAUUAAAAGAAGGGUGAAAAACACACUACACCCAGUUUUUGCUCCAGAAUCUUUAGAUACAGUGAGGGAAAAAGAAGGAAUGCUGUAAACUCCAAAAUUGUACUUCAGUACUUGAAUUCCGGGGGACUGUUAAUAAUAGAGCCAAAAGUACAGAAAAAUAAUUUCUAUUUUUAGUUUUCUAGUUAUUUUUUUAAGAUUUAAGUAUUAUGAUUGUUUGUUUAAGAUUUAAGUAUUAUGAUUAUUAAUUUUGGUAUGAGAGUAUCACACUGCCUGUUUUCUUAAUUUCCCAUAAUAGCUUACCUAUAUAAUUUAGAAAAAUACUUGGGUGAAUCCUAACAUUACUAAUCUUUGUGCAUCCUACCGAAUUGUCACGGUCGAAGGUUAGCCAUACACAACUAGAAGAUUUGAGUACUUUUAUUGCCACAAUUACUUCUAGUUUUCCCAUUGUAAAGGAAACCAUGAUACUUUCUUUAUCAAAUUAAAGGGGGACCAGAAAGAUGAAUAUGGGUUUCUAGCAAACUCUUCUAAAAGUUUUAAACAAAAGAGUGUCUGAAAUCUUGUGGGAGGGAUGGGUCCCAUACCCCAACGGUCUCUCAUCUUCCUUUUUGUUCACUUUCCUCGAAACUCUUUCUGGUUUAACACAUUGCGUGAAACAUAUCAAAAAGUAGGAAGAAAAAACAUGAACAGGAAAUGAAAGUAGAUGAUGAAGAUCAUGACGUCGACAGCAACUAACGAAUCUUUGACAAUAUGUAUUCUAAUUGAAGGAUAUCCUAAUCUCAUGAAUGUUCAUGUCAUCAAAAAAGAAAAAGAACUCAAGAAUGUUCAUUUGUGUUCUUGUUUGAGGGAAUUCCAUUCUGUAAUUUUAACUCAGUUUCUUUGUGUAAGAGCUUUACUAUAUAUUCUAUACUCUUGAAAAUUUAUUUUGUGGACCAUAUAAAAAAAGUAGGAAGAAAAACAUGAACAGGCUAAAUGAAAGUAGAUGGUGAUGACGAAUCUUCAGUGGUAUGUGUAUUAUAACUAAAGCAUUUCCUAAUCUCAUGAAUAUUCAUUUGUGUUCUUGUUUUGAGUGAAUUUCAUUCUAAAAUUUUAUCCGUUUCUUUUCAUUGUAAAGAGCUAUACUAAAUUUGGAGGGUGAUUGAGAAUUACUUACGUAUAUCUUCAUCACUGAAUGGCUUGAAAUCUCCAAUUUCAUCAGGUGGCAAAGUGAAGCCUGUGAAGGAGAAUGACAAUCCCAAGCUCGCACUUGAAGCUCUACUAAGAGCUGCACCACUCCCCAAAUCAUCCAAAUCCAGCUUCAGCUGUGCACUCCUAGACUUCCUGAUAUGUGUGUUUCGACCACCGCCG